AUGUCCAAGUCCAAGAACCACACCACACACAACCAGUCCCGAAAAUGGCACAGAAAUGGCAUCAAGAAACCCUGAUCACAAAGAUAUGAAUCUCUUAAGGGGGUGGACCCCAAGUUCCUGAGGAACAUGUGCUUUGCCAAGAAGCACAACAAGAAGGGCCUAAAGAAGAUGCAGGCCAACAGUGUCAAGGCCAUGGGUGCACGUGCUGAGGCUAUGGAGGCCCUCGUAAAGCCCAAGGAGGUUAAGCCCAAGAUCGCAAAGGGUGUCAGCCGCAAGCUCGAUCGACUUGCCUACAUUGCCCAUCCCAAGCUUGGGAGCACAGUG